ACCGUAACUUUUGGAUUCCAACUCUUUGAAGGGAUCUUAAAAUUUUAGUUACUAGUUCAAAGUUAGAAAAACCUUUACCAAGAGCUUUGAGUCCAUUGAUGACAUCCGUGAAACGGGUGUACAUGUCUCCGAUGGACUCACUUGGUUUCAUCCGGAAAAGUUCGUAAGAAUGCACAAGAAUAUUGAUUUUGGACUCUUUCACUCGGCUAGUGCCUUCAUAAGUGACCUCAAGAGUUCUCCAAAUAUCAAAAGUCGAAUCACAAAUUGAAACGCGAUUAAAUUCAUUUUUAUCAAGUGCACAAAACAAGGCAUUCAUAGCCUUUACGUUUAAAGCAAAAACCUUCUUCUCUGAUUCAUCCCAUUCGCUCAUCGGAAGAGAAGAUUUUUUAAAUCCAUUUUCGAUAAUAUUCCAAAGCUCAAAUCCAUAGAAAUAAGGAAGAUCCUCAUACGAGUCUUCCAAUAUGUGUAAUCCGACCUAUUAAACAUAGGCGGACGUGUAAUAGAGUGACCCUCUUGCAUGCCGGAGUAAGCCAUCUCUCUUGUGUAUUAAACCAAAUAUAAGAGUGAGCCUUGCUCUGAUACCAACUGUUAGGAUCAGAGCGGCACUAAGAGGGGGGGUGGGGGUGAAUUAGUGCAACGGAUUAAAACUCGUAAGUUUGAAAUCGAUUUCGUAAAUGUGUAGAGAUUUUGAUUCGACGAAGGAUGACUUAGCUAAAAUAGCUCGGGUAAAGAUAGUCAAGAGUAGGGAGAUGAAAAUCGAACGAUUUGUAGCUAAGUAGAGAAAUGGUUUAAAAAAUUAAACACUCACACAUUUAAGGAACACCACGAUGUAUAGUGGUUCGGUCAAAUGGCCUACAUCUACUUUCGAAGCCUUUUUCGAUGAGGUUUCCAACUUCCACUAGCAAAUCACUUUGAAUGAGAAGGACCAAAUACCCCUCUUACAACCUUCUUACAAGUGGUUCACACUCUUAUAGAAUUUUUUCAAAGAGAAAGAGAAAGGUGAACACUUAACCUAUUCAAAACAAGACUUUGCUAGAGUUUUUUCUCACUUUCUAACUUCUCAAAAAGGUGUAAUCUCUGUUAAGAAUUGAGGGGUAUUUAUAGGUCAUAAGAGGAUUCAAAUUUGAGCUCCAAAUUUGAAUUACUUUUGGGUUUCUCGGUACUGGUGGUGCCACCGCCUGCCAAUGUCUGACACUGACAGUGUAUUCGCGGUGCCACUACCGAAUCUCUCGGGUUCUGGGCGAUGCCAUCGCCUGGACUGUUCCAGCUCACUGGUUGGGCUCCAAACUUGGCUCAAACCAAUCCAAACUCGGACCCAAUUGACCCAUAACCGGGUUAUAGGAUUAACCUUUAAUCUUAACCCAAAUAAUAUGUAAAUUAUAAAAUUAAGACAUAGCCCUAAGCAAAUUUUUAACCGGCAACGUCAAGUUUUCCGACGAAUUUCCAAUGGACUUCCGAUACACCCUCGGAUUUCUUUUGAUGGACUUCCGAUACACCCUCGGAUUUCUUCCGGCGGACUCCCAAGUGGUCCGGUCUUGUGACGAGUUCAACGCACUUAACUCAAUAAUAUAGAUUAUAUCAAUUAACCCAUCAAUUGAUUUCAUCAUUAAAAAAAAAAAAAUCGAGAUUUAAUAAUUUUACCCCCUUAUCCAACCUUCCGACGACAUUUCCUUCCAUGACCUCUCGGAUCGUCCAGGGCAAGCCUCCAGGCCCGCCUCGUAGCCCUUCCAAUAAGAAGGAGAAUUUGGACGAGGCGCCCCUCGACAAGCGGCAUAGGUUCGGGGUGAUGGGGAAGAUGGUGGGUCCCGCGACCGACCCACGAACGACGCGGUCAGUGCUGUCCUCCGUCAACGGCGGCCCCAAUUCCGGCGACCAGGCGGCUGCUGGCUCGGAUGGUGGGAGCGCCUCUAGGAUUGAGUUCAGUUCUAGGGAGGACGUGGAGAGGCUUCUGGCUGAGAAGAUGAAAGUCAAGACUAAGAAUGACUUUAAGGGGAAGAGUGAACAGAUGAUAGAAUACAUUAAGAAGUUUCGGAUUUGCAUUAGAUGGUAUAUGGAACUGGAAGAUGGCUACUUGGCAGAGCAGGGGAAGCUUCGAAAUAUGUUGGAAUCUGAAGAGAAAAGGCACAGAGAAAUUGAGUUUUAUCUUCUAGAGUCCCGGAUGAGGGCUGAAAUUGAUGAACUAGAUGCAACAAUAAGGGAGCUUCAAGACCAGAAUUCUUCCUUGCAGGAGAAUUUAGUGAAUGAAGAAACUGAGAAAUUGGUUGCUAUUAAAUCUUACGAAAAUGAAAGACAAACCAGGGUUGCAGUUGAGAAUUCUCAAGAUGCUCUGUCCUUGGACCUUCAAAGAGUUAACCAAGAGAAUAAACGUUUGAGCGACCAGUUGAAAUUGCUACAAGAAACUAAUAGGAGAUUACAGGAGUACAAUACCAGUUUGCAACAAUACAACAGUAAUCUUCAGAAUGAGGCCAACAAAAAUGGUGAAACAAUCUUGAGGUUGCAGAAGGAGAAAAGUGCCAUAAUGGAAAGCCUAACUAGUGCAAGGGAUCAUGCAAACUAACUCAAAAAUCAAUUGGACUCUUCUAAGUCUUCUCAGCAAGAGGCCAUGAAACAGAAAGAAGAAUUGAAAAAGGAAGUCAGUUGUCUUAGAAGUGAAUUACAACAAAUACGAGAUGGCCAUGAUAAUUUAUCAGUGCAAGUGCAGAGGUUGACCUCAGAGUUUGAUAACUAUACAGAACUAACUACAAAAUCAAUAAAAAAUUUGGAUAAAAUAACCAUAAAGACUAUUGCACUUGAGGUUUGUUUCAUAUAAAGUAACAUCCACAUGCAUUAUGCUGCUCAUACAUUAGAGACAUGUGCUUCCCAAAGAGAAAAAAUACAACUUUUGCAGCAUCAGCUUGCUGCUUCCAAUGAGAAGCUGAAGAGAGCUGAUUUAAUAACCAUCAAGAUAAUGACAGAGUAUGAAAAGCAGAAAAACACUAUUAUUGAUUUGCAAGAUCGUCUUGCAGAGGCAGAGCUUCAAAUAAUUGAAGCAGAGAAAUUAUGUAAAAAACUGCAUAAUACCAUAUUGGAACUUACAGGAAAUAUUCGAGUAUUUUAUAGAGUUCGCCCGCUUUUACUUGAUACUGAUUCGGGUGGAACAGAUGAAGAUGUUGUUUCAUAUCCGACAUUCCUUGAAUAUCUUGGGCGUGGCAUUGACUUGACACAUAAUGGCCAGAAAUAUUCCUUCACUUUUGAUAAAGUAUUCAAUGAAGCUUCACAAGAAGAUGUAUUUGUAGAAAUCUCACAGUUGGUUCAGAGUGCACUCGGUGGAUAUAAGGUGUGCAUAUUUGCAUAUGGACAAACUGGUUCUGGUAAAACUUAUACUAUGAUGGGCAAUACUGACCAUGCUGAACAGAAAGGCCGUAUACCUCGGUCAUUAGAGCAAAUAUUCCAAACUAGUCAAUCAUUACAAUGCCAAGGCUGGAAAUAUAAAAUGCAGGUGUCCAUGCUGGAAAUAUAUAAUGAAACAAUUUAUGAUUGGUUAUCACCUGGUCACCCUAGCAGUUUGGAAGCAAGUGGUGGUCUUAGCAAGCAAUAUGGAAUCAAGCAUGACACUUAUGGUAAUACGAUUGUAUCUGAUUUUACCAUCAUAGAUGUUUGCAGCAUUAAAGCAGUUUCAUUCCUCCUCCAGCAAGCUUCACAGAGUCUUUGGGUAUUGUAUCGAUUGGAGAUCGAAUCGAUAUCGUUUGGUUCGACAUUGGAUAUAUUGGGCCACAAGCAUCAGCAUGACGAUUCCCGAACCGAGUCCGAGAGUAGCCUUCUUCGCCUGCAGGCAAGCGCCGCUCGGUGUCGGCGGUGACAUUGUGGGCGCAGACGGCGGAGGGACGGAGCCUGGGGUCGAAGAUGACGGCGGAAGCGCAGAAGGCGAGCGCGGGGAGGGAGCAACGGGGGAGCGGGGGGUGGAGGAGGGAGAAGGAGGAGGAGUUGAGGUCGGGGAGGCGACGUCGAUCUGGAGCUUCAUGCCACCAGCGCAGUGUCCGGGAAUUCCGCAGACGAAGUACCUGGAGCCGGUGCUGUUGAGCGUGACGACGGUGUUGCCGCCGGUGCUCGUCGAUAUGGGGUUGCUCGUCGUGCACGAGCUGUAGGCGGCGCUCGACACCUCCAACACGUCAUGGCUCGACGCAUACUUGAAUGCUGCAUUCAAAAGGAGUAUAGCUUUUAAGAUAUUUAUGUUGCAAUAAAAAUGUGAAUUUAAUUAUAUACAAUAUUGAAUAUGAUUUUCAUUAAAUAUUGAGUUGUAGACAAUUAUAUUUUUAAUAAAAGAUAAAUUUUAGAUUAAACGAUUUUUUACGCUUAACUAUCAAAGUGUUUACUAACUAAGCAAGCUGACACCCA